AUUGAACGCUGGCGGAAUGCUUUACACAUGCAAGUCGAACGGUAACAGGUUAAGCUGACGAGUGGCGAACGGGUGCGUAAUGCAUCGGAACGUGCCCAAUCGUGGGGGCUAACGCAGCGAAAGCUGCGCUAAUACCGCAUACGAUCUGAGGGUGAAAGUGGGGGACCGCAAGGCCUCAUGCUAGAGGACCGGCCGAUGUCUGGUAGCUAGUUGGUGGGGUAAAGGCCUACCAAGACGACGAUCAGUAGCUGGUCUGAGAGGACGAGCAGCCAGACUGGGACUGAGACACGGCCCAGACUCCGACGGGAGGCAGCAGUGGGGAAUUUUGGACAAUGGGCGAAAGCCUGAUCCAGCAAUGCCGCGUGUGUGAAGAAGGCCUUCGGGUUGUAAAGCACUUUUGUCCGGAAAGAAAUGGCUCUAGUUAAUACCUGGGGUCGAUGACGGUACCGGAAGAAUAAGAACCGGCUAACUACGUGCCAGCCGCCGCAGUAA
rnacentral:rRNA from 1 species